AGAGGAAUGAAAAACUCGUAGAAGAAUUCCCCGCAUUGCUCCUAUUGUGUCUUUUCCUCCUUAGGUCGAAUCUGUGUCCAAAAUCGGUCUCCUUAGCCUCCUUAGGUCUAAAUUAUGUCAAAUGUGUGUCCGACCUCCCAAAAAUACCAUUUUUCAUGUAUAUAUACCAAGUAGGGUCGGGCCCAAAUAAUUAUACCUUCUCCUUCACGAAAAAGGACAAUUUUUCACGUCUGGACGGCCACGGUCGUGGUCAAACGCGGGCGCGGUACAUUGCAAGUACUCCGCGGUUUCAGUUUCGACCACGUUUUUCACCCUAUUCAAGUUGGAAUUUGGAAAAACGUAAAACAUGAAAGUUGUAGAGCUUUCCAAUCAUAUCUUGUGGAGCCCAAAUGGAGUUCUGAGC
rnacentral:lncRNA from 1 species